rnacentral:rRNA from 1 species
AUUGAACGCUGGCGGCAUGCUUUACACAUGCAAGUCGAGCGGCAGCGCGGGGGCAACCCUGGCGGCGAGCGGCGAACGGGUGAGUAAUGCAUCGGAACGUGUCCUUGAGUGGGGGAUAACCCGGCGAAAGCCGGGCUAAUACCGCAUGCGCUCUGAGGAGGAAAGCGGGGGAGCCUGAGGGAAACUGAGGGGCCUCGCGCUCGUGGAGCGGCCGAUGUCCGAUUAGGUAGNGGUGGGGUAAUGGCCUACCAAGCCUGCGAUCGGUAGCUGGUCUGAGAGGAUGAUCAGCCACACUGGGACUGAGACACGGCCCAGACUCCUACGGGAGGCAGCAGUGGGAAUUUUGGACAAUGGGGCAACCCUGAUCCAGCCAUGCCGCGUGCGGGAAGAAGG